rnacentral:sRNA from 1 species
GAGAUCAAGGAAUAACCCCUUGUUGUUGUUUAAAUUAUUAUUUUGUCAAUCAGGCUUUUGGCACAAUGUAAUACUGUAAACACCCUAAAAAGCAAUCAAUUCAACAGCUAUACUGGAGAAAAUGAUGAGCAAAAAGAAAGGAUUAACUACUGC